GGUGAACGCUGGCGGCGUGCCUAAUACAUGCAAGUCGAGCGAACAGACGAGGAGCUUGCUCCUCUGACGUUAGCGGCGGACGGGUGAGUAACACGUGGAUAACCUACCUAUAAGACUGGGAUAACUUCGGGAAACCGGAGCUAAUGCCGGAUAAUAUAUUGAACCGCAUGGUUCAAUAGUGAAAGACGGUUUUGCUGUCACUUAUAGAUGGAUCCGCGCCGCAUUAGCUAGUUGGUAAGGUAACGGCUUACCAAGGCAACGAUGCGUAGCCGACCUGAGAGGGUGAUCGGCCACACUGGAACUGAGACACGGUCCAGACUCCUACGGGAGGCAGCAGUAGGGAAUCUUCCGCAAUGGGCGAAAGCCUGACGGAGCAACGCCGCGUGAGUGAUGAAGGUCUUCGGAUCGUAAAACUCUGUUAUUAGGGAAGAACAAAUGUGUAAGUAACUAUGCACGUCUUGACGGUACCUAAUCAGAAAGCCACGGCUAACUACGUG
rnacentral:rRNA from 1 species